rnacentral:rRNA from 1 species
AUUGAACGCUGGCGGCAUGCCUUACACAUGCAAGUCGAACGGAGUGCUCAUGACGGAGGAUUCGUCCAACGGAUUGAGUUACUUAGUGGCGGACGGGUGAGUAACGCGUGAGGAACCUGCCUCGGAGUGGGGAAUAACAGACCGAAAGGCCUGCUAAUACCGCAUGAUACAGUUGGGUCGCAUGACUCUGACUGUCAAAGAUUUAUCGCUCUGAGAUGGCCUCGCGUCUGAUUAGCUGGUUGGCGGGGUAACGGCCCACCAAGCGACGAUCAGUAGCCGGACUGAGAGGUUGGCCGGCCACAUUGGGACUGAGACACGGCCCAG